rnacentral:rRNA from 1 species
AACGCGAAGAACCUUACCCAGGCUUGACAUCCUGCGAAUCUUUCCGAAAGGAGAGAGUGCUUUAUUGAGCGCAGUGACAGGUGUUGCAUGGCCGUCGUCAGCUCGUGUCGUGAGAUGUUUGGUUAAGUCCAUCAACGAGCGCAACCCUUAUAGCUAGUUGAAUUUCUCUAGCUAGACUGCCCUGGUAACAGGGAGGAAGGAGGGGAUGAUGUCAGGUCAGUAUUACCCUUACGUCUGGGGCUACAAACACGCUACAAUGGCCGGUACAAAGGGCUGCCAAGUCGCGAGACGGAGCAAAUCCCAUCAAAGCCGGUCCCAGUUCGGAUAGCAGGCUGAAACUCGCCUGCUUGAAGUCGGAAUCGCUAGUAACGGUGAGUCAGCACAUCACCGUGAAUACGUUCCCGGGCCUUGUACACACCGACGCAC